rnacentral:tRNA from 1 species
GGCCCCGUAGCUCAGUCGGAUAGAGCACAGGAUUCCUAAUCCUGGGGUCACAGGUUCAAAUCCUGUCGGGGUCACCA